GAUGAACGCUGGCGGCGUGCCUAAUACAUGCAAGUCGAACGAAGAUCUAGCCUGCUAGAUCUUAGUGGCGAACGGGUGAGUAAUACAUAAAUAAUCUGCCCAUAUGACUGGGAUAACUAUUGGAAACGAUAGCUAAUACCGGAUAGGUUGAUCGGAGGCAUCUCUGAUGAAUUAAAGUAGGAUUUCUACACACAUGGAUGAGUUUAUGGCGCAUUAGUUAGUUGGUGGGGUAACGGCCUACCAAGACGAUGAUGCGUAGCCGACCUGAGAGGGUGACCGGCCACACUGGGAAUGAGACACGGCCCAGACUCCUACGGGAGGCAGCAGUAGGGAAUUUUCGGCAAUGGGCGCAAGCCUGACCGAGCAACGCCGCGUGAGUGAUUAAGGCCUUCGGGUUGUAAAGCUCUGUUGUAAGGGAAGAACAUUCAGGAUAGGAAAUGAUCUUGAACUGACGGUACCUUACCAGAAAGCCACGGCUAACUACGUGCCAGCAGCCGCCGUAA
rnacentral:rRNA from 1 species